UACGAAGGGGGCUAGCGUUGCUCGGAAUUACUGGGCGUAAAGCGUGCGCAGGCGGUUUUGUAAGUCUGACGUGAAAUCCCCGGGCUCAACCUGGGAAUUGCGUUGGAGACUGCAAGGCUGGAGUCUGGCAGAGGGGGGUGGAAUUCCACGUGUAGCAGUGAAAUGCGUAGAGAUGUGGAGGAACACCGAUGGCGAAGGCAGCCCCCUGGGCCAAGACUGACGCUCAUGCACGAAAGCGUGGGGAGCAAACAGG
rnacentral:rRNA from 1 species